rnacentral:rRNA from 1 species
GAUGAACGCUGGCGGCGUGCCUAAUACAUGCAAGUCGAGCGAACAGACGAGGAGCUUGCUCCUCUGACGUUAGCGGCGGACGGGUGAGUAACACGUGGAUAACCUACCUAUAAGACUGGGAUAACUUCGGGAAACCGGAUCUAAUACCGUAUAAUAUAUUGAACCGCAUGGUUCAAUAGUGAAAGACGGUUUUGCUGUCACUUAUAGAUGGAUCCGCGCCGCAUUAGCUAGUUGGUAAGGUAACGGCUUACCAAGGCAACGAUGCGUAGCCGAUCUGAGAGGGUGGUCGGCCACACUGGAACGGAGACACGGUCCAGGCUCCUACGAGAGGCAGCAGUAGGGAAUCGUCCGCAACGGGCGAAAGCCUGACGGAGCAACGCCGCGUGAGUGAUGAAGGUCUUCGGAUCGUAAAACUCUGUUAUUAGGGAAGAACAAAUGUGUAAGUAACUAUGCACGUCGUGACGGUACCUAAUCAGAAAGCCACGGCUAACUACGUG